AGAGUAAGAAUACAGGCGUUAAGUGCCUGUCGGACGGGGAGUUGCCGAUGGGACGAAAAGCGGAGGCUUGCGGCUUGUGUUCUGCAUCCCGCU
rnacentral:ncRNA from 1 species